rnacentral:tRNA from 1 species
GCUAAAAAUAGCAUACUACACUUCACUCGUAAUGAAGGGGUCGUCGGUUCAAGUCCGAUUUCCAGCU